AUUUUUUUUCUAUUUCCCUCCCUUUAAGGUAUUAACUCCUCUGUUGAGUUAAUCCCUUCAUAUUUUCACCUUCAGCGCCAUUUUCCCACCUUCCGCUCCAUGUUUCCAUUUUCCCCUAUUCUCCCCUUUUCUUGGUGAUAAACUUCCCUUUCCAGAGCUAUAAAUUCCCUGAUAGUUCUUUUGGAAGAGAUGGAAUUUGGAUUAUUAGCAUUAGCAUGCCAAAGGUGAAACGUUCCAAGAAUCCACUGAAGUUUGCUAAUGGACAUGCUUCAUCAUUAACUACUUCAGCAACACUCCCAGAUGCUUCAACAAUUUCCUCGCAAGUUCAUGAAGUCCCACAAGAAGAACAAUCUCCAAUUCUCAUACAAGAAGAACAAGUUCCAAUUCCACCGCAACAAGCACAAGUUUCAAUUCUGCCUUCUAAUUCAAGUGUAACAUCUAUGAACCGACGUAUAUAUUCAAAAUAUUGGAAUGUAGAUGCACGAGAUAUGCCUUAUGUAAAUUUUAUUUCAACUUAUGGGUAUCUUAUCUUAGUUUUUUCCUUUUUGGUUGAGUAACUUGUUUUCUUGUUAAAGACUUAGCAAACGCUAUCAAGCAGAUUAAUGUCAAGGUCAAUGAGGUUAAUAACCUAACUGUUGGAGAGCACAUUAUUGUGAACUUUGAUGACUAUAACGCAACAUAUGGUGAAGCACAAGGAUUGCUCGCUAGAUAUUGUGGAUCAUUGGCUGUUGAUUGUAAUUUGUUCCCGAUUAGUUUUGAGAGGUGGUCAGGGCCAUUAGGCAUGCCUAAGAAGUACAUGGAAGACUGCUUUGAAACAAUAUUGAAGAUUGAUUCAUAUUGGUGAACGUGAAGAACAUGAGCCUUACAUUUAAGCAUCUCAAGCACAAACUGUGUACUAUGUGGAUGACAUUGUCAAUAAAGGGUGGAGUGUUGCUGUGCAUCUAAAGCCAAGAGAUUUGUACGAUAUGGGAGAAGUAAUGGAAGACGAAGUAUAUGAGAAUGAACCAUACCAAGAGCAAGAACUCGACCAAUUUUUUGCUGAUAGUGAUGAGUAUGUACAACUAGCUACAGAUCAUAUAAUUGUUGAUGUAGUAGAGGCAAAUGUUGCUACUAUAUAACCUAGCAACGAAGGUAAUGUCUGACUGAGUUUUAUGAUUUAUGUUAAUUUUGUUGUUCUUUUUGAAGUAUAUUUUAGUGCUAUGUGUGAUUUUUGAGCUGAUUUGGAGUGAAUUUGUUCAGGUUUAUCAUUUGACGAGCCUUCGAUUUCAAUAACUCAGUUGAAAUGGAAAUUAUCUUUUUUCCCCAUAAUCUAUCUCCUGUUUCUCAACUACUUAAUAAGAGUUCCAGCUAUAGUAUUUCUCAUGAUUAAUUUCUCACUAUAGCUUUUGAUAUUUCUCAACAUGGUGAGAUAUAUGAGGUGAAUGGUGAGCAGGUUGCUGUAAUUUAUUAUGUUAGUGAAAAGCAAAUCAUGGAAGAGGAGAAAGACGAGAAAUCAAAG